CUAGAAAAGUUAAACCACGAGUCCCCAGCAACGGUGCCAAAAACUUGUUAAGUCCCUCAUAAGUGUACCAGAUCGUUAUCAAGUAAUAUAAAAUGGGUAAGUCAAAGUAUCGUUUCUCAAAGGGCUCUUAGGCCUUAACUUUCGUGUAAACCAAUCGCAUAAGACUUGAGAAAAGAAUUAAGUUUCAGUUUUGAAUGCAAAGAAUAAAAGUAAACAUGCAAAUGCA
rnacentral:lncRNA from 1 species